AACGAACGCUGGCGGCAGGCCUAACACAUGCAAGUCGAACGCCCCGCAAGGGGAGUGGCAGACGGGUGAGUAACACGUGGGAACGUACCCUUCGGUUCGGGAUAACUCAGGGAAACUUGAGCUAAUACCGGAUACGUCCGAGAGGAGAAAGAUUUAUCGCCGAGGGAUCGGCCCGCGUCUGAUUAGCUUGUUGGUGAGGUAACGGCUCACCAAGGCGACGAUCAGUAGCUGGUCUGAGAGGAUGAUCAGCCACAUUGGGACUGAGACACGGCCCAAACUCCUACGGGAGGCAGCAGUGGGGAAUAUUGGACAAUGGGCGCAAGCCUGAUCCAGCCAUGCCGCGUGAGUGAUGAAGGCCCUAGGGUUGUAAAGCU
rnacentral:rRNA from 1 species